GUAGCCCUCGACGCGCUGAUUCCAGAAGUACAACCCUUAUUCCGAGCCGCCGCUCGUAUCCCCGCAGAUCCAUCGCCGAAGUUUUGGAUCUCACUUCCGGCGAACUUCUCCGGUGAAAGUUCGGCGAGCUUUUCCGGCCGUCUCCGUCGUCCCCUGCGAAAACCGUCACCACCUUCAGCUCCAUGGACGCAACCAUCUUCUUCGUUUCCGGCCACCGUGACCUUGUGCGCUACCACCGGCAACCCUGCGCCUGCAGCUAGCCCCGUGAAGCCGCCCUGUGCCCAUGGCCUCACGUCUCGCCACUCGUCCCACGCGUCACGCUGCAAGCAGCAACGCCGCCGCCGUCUGUCGCUGCUCAGCCAUGGUAGUAGACGUCGAGCCUCCCCUGCCCCAGCCCACGUGGCUCUUGCGCUGCACAGCCCCGUGCCACUCAACCGGACGCCUAGGCCCCUGCUGGAGCCUCUCCUCUUCCCUGCGCCUUGCAGCAACUCAGCCUGGUGGUUGCGUUCGUGACGAACAUGAACAGAGAAGUGUGGAUCGUCAACAGUGAAGACCAGGAGCUGAGGACCGACAGUUGCAGUAGAAGCUAAAGAUCAGAAGAUAGAAGCCAAAGAAUUAUGAGCAGUUAUACACUGGGAAUAAAAGCAAGUGCAGACACCGUUUGAUCAUUUUGAACCUACUCAUUAAUGUCAUUUACUUUA